rnacentral:rRNA from 1 species
AACGAACGCUGGCGGCAUGCCUAACACAUGCAAGUCGAACGAGAUCUUCGGUUCUAGUGGCGCACGGGUGCGUAACGCGUGGGAAUCUGCCCUUUGGUUCGGAAUAACAGUUGGAAACGACUGCUAAUACCGGAUGAUGACGAAAGUCCAAAGAUUUAUCGCCAGAGGAUGAGCCCGCGUAGGAUUAGCUAGUUGGUGUGGUAAAGGCGCACCAAGGCGACGAUCCUUAGCUGGUCUGAGAGGAUGAUCAGCCACACUGGGACUGAGACACGGCCCAGACUCCUACGGGAGGCAGCAGUGGGGAAUAUUGGACAAUGGGCGAAAGCCUGAUCCAGCAAUGCCGCGUGAGUGAUGAAGGCCUUAGGGUUGUAAAGCUCUUUUACCCGGGAUGAUAAUGACAGUACCGGGAGAAUAAGCUCCGGCUAACUCCGUGCCAGCCGCCGCGGUAAGAC